rnacentral:lncRNA from 1 species
CAUAAAUAUCCCUUUGAAAUAAAUGUAAUUCCGCAGUUCUCAUCUCCUAAUAAAUCAGGAACGAAACUAGUGCAAGAUUUUUGUCUUCAAAGCCUCUCUAACAAAGCCUCGGCUGAAUCCUGCGCCAGCACUCGACGACGCGGCAGCCCACACGACGUUCGCUGCCUUCCGCCAACUCUCAGCCAAAGCAGACGUCAACCUUUCCGUUCCCGCGGCCGCCGUUACUGGUAUCUCGAACUCUCGGCGUGAAACCUUGCGCCUUGACGAAGCACGCGACGGCGAGCACCACACAAGGGAAUGCAAGCACCGCAACAGGCUUCUUCGUGGCGGCGUCGUGCGUGAGGGGGAUGACGUGAAGGGAGCCACCCACGCCCAGGCACAGCCUGGUCACGAAGCAAUCCAACGCCACGGCGACCAUCAGUAGCGCCGUCGCCACGGCCACCGCGUUGGCUGCUGUCUCCCAACAGCCUCCACAGGGGCCGCCAUCCACCAUCUUCUUCUUCAUCUUUGCUUCGAUCUCUAUGAUGUUCUAAUAACGAAAAGGAAACUAUAUGUAGAUAAAGAAUAGUAGUGUAUAUAAGAAUUAUUUCUCCUUUAAGUUUUUACUAAAAAAAACACAUACAAACAAAGAUCAACUUCUGACGGCAAAUUAAGGCAUCUUCUGUUUUCGUUUGUACGCAAGUAUAACAGUUCGUCGUUGAGAAGGUCACGUUUUGUUUGGAGGGGCGAGCAUCGAAGGAUGGAUGGCAACAGCAAUGAAAUGGAACGAUAUGGGCGUG